UAAUACGUAGGGUGCGAGCGUUGUCCGGAAUUAUUGGGCGUAAAGAGCUCGUAGGCGGUUUGUCGCGUCGACUGUGAAAACCUACAGCUUAACUGUGGGCUUGCAGUCGAUACGGGCAGACUUGAGUUCGGUAGGGGAGACUGGAAUUCCUGGUGUAGCGGUGAAAUGCGCAGAUAUCAGGAGGAACACCGGUGGCGAAGGCGGGUCUCUGGGCCGAUACUGACGCUGAGGAGCGAAAGCGUGGGGAGCGAACAGGAUUAGAUACCCUGGUAGUCCACGCCGUAAACGGUGGGAACUAGGUGUGGGGGGCUUCCACGUCCUCCGUGCCGUAGCUAACGCAUUAAGUUCCCCGCCUGGGGAGUACGGCCGCAAGGCUA
rnacentral:rRNA from 1 species